CAUGUGUAAGUAUAAAUAAUUUUACUUUGAAACUGCGAAUGGCUCAUUAUAUCAGUUAUAGUUUAUUAGAAAUAUUUUACUACUUGGAUAACCGUAGUAAUUCUAGGGCUAAUACAUGAGUAAAACCUCAACUUCGGAAGAGGUGUGUUUAUUAGUAUGAAAACCAUAUAUCUUCGGAUAUAAUAGUGAGUAAUAAUAACCUUUCAUAUCGUAUGUCGUAAGAUAACGAUAGUUCUUUCAAGUUUCUGCCCUAUCAGCUUUCGAUGGUAGUAUAUGGGACUACCAUGGCAGUAACGGGUAACGAAGAAUUUGGGUUCGAUUUCGGAGAGGGAGCCUGAGAGAUGGCUACCACAUCCAAGGAAGGCAGCAGGCGCGUAAAUUACCCAAUCCUGACAUAGGGAGGUAGUGACAAUAAAUCACAAUGCGGAACUUUUAAUUUUGCAAUUGGAUUGAAAACAAUGGACAAAUGGUAUCCAUAAACAAUUGGAGGGCAAGUCUGGUGCCAGCAGCCGCGGUAAUUCCAGCUCCAAUAGCGUAUAUUAACGUUGUU
rnacentral:rRNA from 1 species